rnacentral:rRNA from 1 species
GCGGGGGAUAACUAUUGGAAACGAUAGCUAAUACCGCAUAAAAUGGAUUAUCGCAUGAUAAUCAAUUGAAAGGUGCAAAUGCAUCACUACCAGAUGGACCUGCGUUGUAUUAGCUAGUUGGUGGGGUAACGGCUCACCAAGGCGACGAUACAUAGCCGACCUGAGAGGGUGAUCGGCCACACUGGGACUGAGACACGGCCCAGACUCCUACGGGAGGCAGCAGUAGGGAAUCUUCGGCAAUGGACGGAAGUCUGACCGAGCAACGCCGCGUGAGUGAAGAAGGUUUUCGG